AACUUUUAGCAACGGAUCUCUUGGCUCUCGCAUCGAUGAAGAACGCAGCCAAAUGCGAUACGUAAUGUGAAUUGCAGAAUUCAGUGAAUCAUCGAAUCUUUGAACGCACCUUGCGCCCCUUGGCAUUCCGAGGGGCACACCCGUUUUAGUGGCGUGAAAUUCUCAAACCUUCUUGGUGUCUUGAUCAAGAUGGCUUUGGACUUUGGAGGCAUUUUGCUGGCUUUGCGAAAAGCCAUCUCCUCUUAAAUACAUUAGUGGGAUCCCCUUUGCCGAUCCCCAGGCUUGAUACCAUAUUUCUACGUCUUGGGAUUUGCUCUGUUCCUUGGGACCCCGCUUCCAACCGUCUCAUGGGAGACAUCGUUCGAGUUUGCUCGACCCACGAACCUUGACCUCAAAUCGGGUGAGACUACCCGCUGAACUUAAGCAUAUCAAUCAGCGGAGGCU
rnacentral:misc_RNA from 1 species